rnacentral:rRNA from 1 species
GACGAACGCUGGCGGCGUGCCUAAUACAUGCAAGUAGAACGCUGAAGGAGGAGCUUGCUUCUCUGGAUGAGUUGCGAACGGGUGAGUAACGCGUAGGUAACCUGCCUGGUAGCGGGGGAUAACUAUUGGAAACGAUAGCUAAUACCGCAUAAGAGUAGAUGUCGCAUGACAUUUGCUUAAAAGGUGCAAUUGCAUCACUACCAGAUGGACCUGCGUUGUAUUAGCUAGUUGGUGAGGUAACGGCUCACCAAGGCAACGAUACAUAGCCGACCUGAGAGGGUGAUCGGCCACACUGGGACUGAGACACGGCCCAGACUCCUACGGGAGGCAGCAGUAGGGAAUCUUCGGCAAUGGACGGAAGUCUGACCGAGCAACGCCGCGUGAGUGAAGAAGGGUUUCGGAUCGUAAAGCUCUGUUGUAAGAGAAGAACGAGUGUGAGAGUGGAAAGUUCACACUGUGACGGUAGCUUACCAGAAAGGGACGGCUAACUACGUG